rnacentral:lncRNA from 1 species
GGAACGGAUUAGCUUGACAGGCUGCAGACUACCCUUCGAACUGAGCAUGAAGUCAUCUUCCUCCAAGUCAUGUGUGAGGACGUGAAGGAAUUGGUACCAAGUAUUGAAGACACUAACCAGGACUGAACACGGUACUCCCUAAGUUGAAUCUUACAAGAGUUCUGGGUCUUUGAGGCUGUCUUUCUACAGCCUCAACUUAAAAUCCUGAAGGUUAGGAGUGCCAAAAGCUUGAAAGCUCUAGAAACCAGGAGCUGCAUUCAAGGGAUAGAAGAGAGCAUGAAGAAUCUGAUGGAAC